UACGUAGGUGGCAAGCGUUGUCCGGAAUUAUUGGGCGUAAAGCGCGCGCAGGCGGUCCUUUAAGUCUGAUGUGAAAGCCCACGGCUCAACCGUGGAGGGUCAUUGGAAACUGGGGGACUUGAGUACAGAAGAGAAGAGUGGAAUUCCACGUGUAGCGGUGAAAUGCGUAGAGAUGUGGAGGAACACCAGUGGCGAAGGCGGCUAACUGGUCCAGAUCUGACGCUGAGGUGCGAAAGCGUGGGGAGCAAACAGG
rnacentral:rRNA from 1 species